CAACCGGCUCUUUUCAGAGCCACCCAUUUCUAAAAGAUCCUUAACU
rfam:Amphimedon queenslandica AMPQTscaffold_13507_Cont763, whole genome shotgun sequence.